rnacentral:rRNA from 1 species
UGGCCCUACGGGACGCAGCAGUGGGGAAUAUUGGGCAAUGGGCGCAAGCCUGACCCAGCAACGCCGCGUGAAGGAAGAAGGCUUUCGGGUUGUAAACUUCUUUUCUCAGAGACGAAGCAAGUGACGGUACCUGAGGAAUAAGCCACGGCUAACAACGUGCCAGCAGCCGCGGUAAUACGUAGGUGGCAAGCGUUAUCCGGAUUUACUGGGUGUAAAGGGCGUGGAGGCGGGAAAGCAAGUCAGAUGUGAAAACCACGGGGUCAACCUGUGGCCUGCAUUUGAAACUGUUUUUCUUGAGUACUGGG